GUGGCGGCGGGGGGAUGAGGAGGCAGGGCGGGAUGAAGGGCACUGCCGUGCACUCUCUCGUGCAUGGCUGGGACUGCAGGGGUGCCAUCGGCCCCCAUAAACACAGGAGCUGCUUUUGGCGACGGCUGCAGGGAGGAGGAACGGCUUCCAUGUCCUGGGAUCGCCUCCCUAGGUGCCCAUGUACCUGUGCAGAGGGGUGGCUGCUGCUCCGGGAGCGCCUGGGCUGACCUGUCAGGGUUCUGUUCUCCGGGCAGAUGUGACCGUGGAAUUUGCUGUUUGGGCAGAAGCUGCCCCUCAGCCCCGCGGCUGGCAGCUGUGCUGGAGGUGCCCUGCAGCAGGUUAGAGGGGUGUGGGGAAAGAUCGUGGCAUAGGCCAGGAAUCUGAGCAGGAAUCAGGGGGUUACACGCCUGCGAUUGGACAGCCACUCUUUUCCUGAGUGUUACAGGGGACGAUGAAGGUGAACACCCAGGAUUUGCACACCCUCUUUUUCGUACGGUCACAAUUUGCAGUCUAGUGUGCUUGUAGCAGCUCACAGCCCCCAAAGCCCAUGAGAACCGAAUCCUUUGCACUUGGGAGCCUGACUGAGCGGCGAGCUUGGAGUGAUGGCCAUCCUGCUCCCAAAUAUCUGCACCCCCGUGCAGGCGGCACUGCUCUGCGCUGCCCAGCAGCCCGGAGAGGGGCCGGUGGUGAGGGAUUUGGAAAGACAACACCCCCAGGGUUCGCCUUCCUGCCCUGCUUUAAAUGAUUUUUGAGCACAAAUUGCUUUUUUUCCCCUCAGUGUAAUAACCAGAAGACCCAGCCACGAGCCUCACAGCCUGGUCGGCAGAGAUAAGGCAGAGUUGCUCCUCCGGCUUGGAUGUGCCUGGGGAGGAUGGUGGGGUCUGGAAGAGGUGCUCCCCGCAGGAGCAGGGCUGCACACCCCUGGGGCUGCUCGGGGGGUACAGGAGACCCUCAGCCCGCCCCGGGGAGCGGCUCAGAGAAAGCAGAGAGUGCCAGAGCCCCCCGGCCCCGGCUCCAGCGCUGCCUGCGGCUCGUUCGCGGGCUCGCUCUCGCCUUUCAGCUUCGGCUGAAACGAUUUGCAGCUCAAACGCCCCCCUGAGAGCCGCUAACCUUUGGAUAAGGUUUGGCACCAUUAUCCUGCUUGGGUUAAUUGGGAGUUAGGGAGAGCCCAGGAGUGACGCGGCUGCCUCCGUCCGUCCGUCCGUCCGUCCGUCCAUCCACCCGCCCCUCCAGCCUUCCCCGGCGCGCUGCGGGCAGCGAUGCGGAGAGAAGCGGAGCCGCUGCUACAGAAAAUCUUCUUCUCCCUCUCCUGGAAACGGUGCGGAACGAGCCGGCGUCCCGGAGGCAGGGGGAGCCGGGAUUUUUUUUUCUCUCAGAGACGUCUCCCGAGCCCGACACAUCCAUGACAUUCUCGAUGCUCAACGAAGAGCCAAAAGCCAAUUUCCUCCACCCUUGGCGUGAUCGUAGAAAGGCUUGGGUUGGAAGGGACCGUAAAUGUCAGCUGAGUGGCUCCCAGAGGAGCUCCCUCCACUCCCUGGCAUCGAGGGCUGCCGGCCGGGGGUGCGGGGUGAUGCCCAGUGGGACCAUUGCGGGUCUCCCAGCCGAAGUUUGGGGGUACCGGGGCAGGGGCACGGAUGCGCCAGGGCUUUUUGAGGAGAUAAUCACGCACCAGACAGAGGUUUGGAUGCGUUUUCGUUCCUUCUUCCCUGAUGCCCCCUGCAGCCUCCGGAAACAGAGCUCCUUCACGUCUUCUUUCAUAACGAACUCGUCUUAGGAUGAAUAAAAAUAAAUAAUGUUAAUAAAAAAGAAAAAUAAAUCGUUGAAUCAAUCCCUCACGGUGUCCGUGGUAGCACUGGUUUUCCGGGGCUGUGAAGAGGCGAAGCGGCGGCCGAGGGCAGCGGUGCCGGCCCGAGCUUUUCCAUUUCCCCGUUAAAUCCCUGCCCGUCAAGACGCUGCUAAACCCGGGCGCAGCCGUGCCCCGCUCGGCUUUCGCGACCUAUCUGUGCACUCACAUGUAAUAAUUCCCACGCAAAGCCAAGGAUGCGCCACGCUCAGUCGCCCUCCUCCUCCGCUGCCAUCAAAAAAAAAAAAACCACCCAUUUUUGGGGGGCGCCCGUAGAAGCAGCUCGUUCAUCCCCGCGCCGGGAUCAGCGGCACAGGGACCCGUUAGGGGUACAGCCCUCACCGGGGAUAUUUUAGUUUUAUUCUGGUUUUUUGCGCCCUUCAGCCUCUUAACACCGAAUUUGCUUUUAGAUUGUGGCUGGGGAAAAAAAUAAAAAGGUUUUUAAGGAGGUGAUUUAAGUUGUUGUUUUUUUUUUUUUUUUUUCCUAGGAAUUGGAUUUUUUUCCCCCAUCUCUGCUCAGUACCGCAUCCCACCUGCAACCGCAGCCUGGGCGCUCCCUCCCUACUCCCUCAACAACGAUACUAGGAAAUAAUUUAGCGGUGGCUUUUCCUCCCAUCUGCCGUAAAACAAUGUUCUUUUUUUUGUCUUCCAAGACAGCAAAUGAAACAGAAAUCCCUCCCUUUCCCGCCUUUCAAAGAACAUAC